rnacentral:rRNA from 1 species
AGCACCGGCUAACUCCGUGCCAGCAGCCGCGGUAAUACGGGGGUGCARGCGUAUUCGGAAUCACUGGGCGUAARGAGCGCGUAGGCGGCUUCUUWAGUCAGAUGUGAAAGCCCGGGGCUUAMCCCCGGAAGUGCAUUUGAAACUAGGGAGCUUGAGUAUGGGAGAGGGAAGUGGAWUUCCUGGUGUAGCGGUGAAAUGCGUAGAUAUCAGGAGGAACACCGGUGGCGAAGGCGACUUCCUGGACCAAUACUGACGCUGAGGCGCGAAGGCGUGGGGAGCAAACAGGAUUAGAUACCCUGGUAGUCCACGCAGUAAACGUUGAACACUAGGUGUAGCGGGUAUUGACCCCUGCUGUGCCGCAGCUAACGCAUUAAGUGUUCCGCCUGGGGAGUACGGCCGC